rnacentral:lncRNA from 1 species
GAAAAAGCCUUCACGAAUGUCACUUGUGUGAAGCCUCAGUACUUGGAGCCUUGGUACUCGGUGGAACCCUAAAAGAAGGAGGCACUGAAGAUAGCUUAUUCGGAGCCUCAAUACUUGGUCGAACUCCAGAUGACGAAGGCAAAAAGUGCCUCUGGAAUACAUCCACAAACUUCCGAUGGUCACUUUGAAUUCGACCUUCAGAGUCCAUCAGCUGAUCAAGCUUCCUCUUCAUGCUCGUCGAAUAACUAUUUGCAAGCACAUGCAACUC